UCCGGUUGAUCUCAGGAUGUUUUACGUUGCGCUUUCAAAGAGUCGAGUUGUUUGGGAUUGCAGCUCAAAAUGGGAGGUAAAUUUCUCCUAAGGCUAAAUACAGGCGAGAGACCGAUAGCGAACAAGUACCGUGAGGGAAAGAUGAAAAGAACUUUGAAAAGAGAGUUAAACAGUACGUGAAAUUGUUGAAAGGGAAACGAUUGAAGCCAGUCGUACCGACGAGAAAUCAACUUCUUGAGUGUUUGUCGUGGGUGAUGUUGAGCUUCGGCCUUCGUUGCUUGCGUUAUGGUGCUUUCGGGGUGUACUUUUUCGUAUGGUAGGUCAAUAUCGAUUUUGAUUGUCAUAAAAUGAUCGGAGGAAUGUAGCUUCGAUCUCGUAUCGGAGUGUUAUAGCCUUUGGUAGAUGUGACGGUUGGGAUCGAGGAUUGCAACGAAUACCCUUUGGGCUAUCCGUCUGACCUCUGGAAGUCGCUCGGGUGUUGAAAGCGUGCUUAUGACAUUCUAGUUGGCGGUCAAAAGGUUAGAACGUGAUUAUAUU
rnacentral:rRNA from 1 species